GAUUCUCAAUGAGCAAGAGAAGGUGAGGGAAGGUGCUAGAAGCCAGGCCCAGGAAGGUUCCUCAGGUUAAUUCUCGGGUAGCAGGCUCUUAUGGGUGCCUGGCAGAGGGAAUGCAUGCAGGAAGCUGUUUCCUUCCACCCGCCAUUGCAGCUUAUGGUCAGCCCAACUGUUCAACAUAAUCUGUUCUGCACUAACAUGCUGCGGAUCCUCAGCAGGUUUUUCUCCUGUGCCGACAGCUUCCUUGGGUCUGGAUAGACAGACAACUCAUCACUGGCUGUUCCCGCAGACUGGCUCCGGGCCUGGCCCAAUUGCUUCUCAAGCUCUCGAACCUGAGGAUGGUAAAACUCGUCGUUCCACAAUGGGUCUGCAGCCAGCCUCUUCUACUCAGAAGUGUGAUAGAAGACCCCACGGACUGAAGAUGGAACCACCUCUCUAGAUGGCUGUGGUAGCCCCAUCUGAGGAGGACUAGGGGUGGGGGACGAUCUGAGCUGGCAUCUUGAGCAACACAUUGGAAGACGCCAGGGAAGUUCAGCUUAGAAAAAAGGUGUGAAGAUGAAGACAUAGGAAGAUGAAGGGGUUUGCCCAAGGUCAGAGUUGGCAGACCAGUGGCCAAACGUAAACUAAGGCCAGGAGAAGUCUGAUGACUCACUCACCUUGCUCUGCAAAACAAGAAUUUGUUGAGCCCGACCCCUCCAGGUCCCUGGUGAGGAUAGCAGCUGCUGGACAUUGACAUCUUCCCCAACCUCACUGGCCAAAACCUGAAAUAAGGCAGGGCCUUCAGUGUGGCCAAAAGAGAGGGCUCCACCAGACCCUGAUGCUGCUGCAUAUUUAGAAGCAUAUUCAGAAGCAGCCUUCACCUACACAAUCUUCUUCCCAUCUCAGAGCAUAGCCCUCAAAGGUCAGUUUUCCAUGUCCCAAGGGCAGCUCUCCCUGGGAAAGUAGUAAACCCAUCAUCCCUGGCAUUUCUUAGCAAUGCUUAGAGCAGCCAAGAAACUGCCAGCAAUGCUCAGAUAGGGCCCCUUGCUCUUGACAUAUUCUGGGAUAACUGAACCACAAAACUGACCAACUCCUGCUUCCUUAACCCACUCACCUGUCACCUAGUGCUGAGCUAAUUCUGGCUAUAGGAAGUACAUUGCCACAGGACCCUGGCCCUUGUGAAAAGCCACAGACAAGUGGACCUCUGAGUGCAGCAAAAGGUGGGCUACUGAAUGUCAGUUGGGGCGCUGUGGUCCAAGAAGAGCCCAGCUUUGCGGUUGUUGAAGUGUAGCACUCAGGCCCAACCUCAAGGCUUUGAGGCAGAAACAAUACGCUCCAGUUUGUGACCUGGGCCCCUCUGAAGCCUGUCACAGAAACCCAAUCCAGCGUACCAAGUCUCUGGCGCUUGUUUCCACAAUAGAACACUGUUUUGGAAAUCUUGGCCAGUCUGAGUGGUUCCAGCAGGGAAGACAAAUGCCAGAGAAUUCGCUAUGU